AAAACAUACAACCCACGAAUUAAAACAAAAGCUCCUCAAUCCAGCAUACAAGUCUAAUCCAGAGAUCCAAAGUAAAAGCUACAACACAAGUAAGAGCAAUGAGGCAUUCAGGAAGGCAGCGACACAAAGUUCCAUGUCUUUAGAAGUGGGUAAAGACUUCUAAAGUGCUAUUUACCAAAGUAGACCUCCAAGAACUUAACAAUUAAAAAACUUUCCAUCAAAUACACUAAAAUCAAUAUUAUAGAGCCAAUGUUGGGAGAUCGUCAACAUAGCACAGUUGACAUGAAAAACUCUCUCUAUUGAGUCCUUACCUGUAUUCAGAGAAAAACCAACAAGACUAUAUAUAGAACCCACUCGAAAGUAAGGAGAGAGAUACCGCUCUCCUAGUAAGAAAAGAUAUCGUCCUCAUCUAGUUGAGUUCUGAGACAACUGACUGCUUUGAUAGGAAUGAAGGACUAAGCCUUGAAAGAAAAA
rnacentral:misc_RNA from 1 species